CACUGACGUCGCGACGCAUAUCAAUAAGCGGAGGAAAAGAAACUAACAAGGAUUCCCUUAGUAACGGCGAGUGAAGCGGGAAGAGCUCAAAUUUGAAAUCUUCAAGGUUUUACCUUGACGAAUUGUAGUUUAAAGAAGUGUUUUCUGUUAGAUUUGAGUAGCAAAGUUCCUUGGAAUAGGGACAUCAUAGAGGGUGAGAAUCCCGUAUUUGAGCCUUAUUCAUUCUAGCUUUGUGAUACACUUUCAAAGAGUCGGAUUGUUUGGGAAUGCAGUCCAAAAUGGGUGGUAAAUUUCAUCUAAAGCUAAAUAUUGGCGAGAGACCGAUAGCGAACAAGUACCGUGAGGGAAAGAUGAAAAGAACUUUGAAAAGAGAGUUAAACAGUACGUGAAAUUGUCAAAAGGGAAGCGUUUGACACCAGUGUUGUUUUUCCGAAAAUCAAUUAUAAAUGUUUUGUUUCUGAGGAGUGAUGACUUCAUCGGCUUCCUUCUCUCUUCACGAAACUUUUGUAAUGCACUUUUCGGUUAACAAGUCAACAUCAAUUUCUUUUGUUGUAAAAGAGUAUUCGGAAGGUGGCUUUCUUUUCGGAGAAAGUGUUUAUAGCCCUAUACUUCUACAAUCGGAGAGAUUGAGGUCUGCAGCGUAGAUCCUUCGGGGUUAGAUACACUUGUGCUAAGUUAUAGCUUUUCAUAGACAACUUGUUGACUAUGUUUAGUCUUGUGAGCUUACUCGCUUAUGCUAUUUUACCUACGCUUAGGAUGUUGAGUCGUAGAGCACGCAG
rnacentral:rRNA from 1 species